rnacentral:rRNA from 1 species
AGCGGCGGACGGGUGAGUAACGCGUGGGUAACCUGCCUCAUACAGGGGGAUAACAGUUGGAAACGGCUGCUAAUACCGCAUAAGCGCACAGUACCGCAUGGUACCGUGUGAAAAACUCCGGUGGUAUGAGAUGGACCCGCGUCUGAUUAGCUAAUUGGUGGGGUAACGGCCUACCAAGGCGACGAUCAGUAGCCGACCUGAGAGGGUGACCGGCCACAUUGGGACUGAGACACGGCCCAA